rnacentral:rRNA from 2 species
UAGAGAGAAGCUUGCUUCUCUUGAGAGCGGCGGACGGGUGAGUAAUGCCUAGGAAUCUGCCUGGUAGUGGGGGAUAACGUUCGGAAACGGACGCUAAUACCGCAUACGUCCUACGGGAGAAAGCAGGGGACCUUCGGGCCUUGCGCUAUCAGAUGAGCCUAGGUCGGAUUAGCUAGUUGGUGGGGUAAUGGCUCACCAAGGCGACGAUCCGUAACUGGUCUGAGAGGAUGAUCAGUCACACUGGAACUGAGACACGGUCCAGACUCC